rnacentral:rRNA from 1 species
CUUUGUGGCAGACCCCGCUUACGGCCUUGUCUGAUCUCGGAAGCUAAGCAGGGUCGGGCCUGGUUAGUACUUGGAUGGGAGACCUCCUGGGAAAACUAGGUUGCUGCUGGAA